AGAAUGCCAUCUCUAGGAUGCCAAUGGGCUGUGUCUACAGUACUAUGUAGGAAAGUGCUGCAAGAGAGAGCCCAUUUUGCCUAAACAAGAACCACGAUUAUGUAAAGUUCUUUCUGUCACCUCUCUGAAGACCUGGUUCAUAUCUGCAGCUGCAACUCUAUCCCUGAACUCAUCUUUGAAACUACCCAGAGAUAGACUGUCAAGAGCUUCAGAGCUUUACAACAGGAUCUUCCAAGUGCCCUGAGAGGUCAUGAUGGAGCCAAUAGAAAUAAAUCAUACAAAACAAAGCCAGAACCUGGUGGGAGGGAUGCUUACAAAACAACAUAAACGAGAAGUUGUCUGAAAAAAAAUUGUAUGGAAGGAAGAAGAGAUGAGAUAAGGGAAAUGAACUCAUAAUAGCCCCAGUUAAAAUACUUACAGUAAAAUAUCAUUAGUACUACUUGAUGUUGGUGAAAGGCUCUAGACUCAAGUCAGAAGGCCCAAUUUGUUGCUGUGAUUUCUUGAACAAAUUAUGUAAUUGUGUUGAGAUUCAGUUUUCUUUUCUAUCAUUGGGUAUUAAUAACUUCUAUGUGAUGUCAGAGUUAUGAUGUGAAGUUAAAAUAACUAAUAAAUGGGUAAACCCUG